AUGUUAUGUUGCACUGUAAUGAUAACAGGGUUGUGGAAUGUCAGGAUGAAUGUCAUGAACUUGUAAAUGGCCGAAAGUGUAAUAGGUAUGUGCAUUUACACCAGUUAUUGUUAGCAAACAGGCGUUUGCUUAAGAAUUACGACAAUAUUCAUUGUACUGAUUUGCACAGUAAAACAUGAUAGGACCCUAUAACUUCCCAUGGAAAUGGGGUCAAUCAUGACUGAACUGAACAACAUCAAUGUUAACUGGCUAACUAGAAGGCCAUCAUUGCUUAGCUUUGAUGUCUCAUUAUCUCUGAGGAAAGAAACUGACAAAGGGGAAGUCAAAACACAAGCAGACCCACACACACACCACACACACGCACGCACACACACACGCACGCACACACACACACUCAAAGGUACAAGAACACAUACAAUCCCUUGUUCUAAUGCCCCAGACAACAGUGACAGAUGUGACUGUGAGAAGUGAAAGAGAUGGCUGUCAGAUCCGUUGAUGCUGGACUGAUCCUGGUAUCACUGUUCCUGGCGGGUAAGACUGGAAUUUAUUUGUCACUGUCAGGGCCAUAGACAUAUAUACAUGUCUUUGGUCAGGGCCGGAUUCACUAAAGGGGGCUGGCAGGGCCAUGGCUGACAGCACAGGUAGGCCUACAUCGGUUGGGUGCAAAUUUGUAGCCAAUUCCUUGUUCAUGUGUGGGUGCGACAAGAAGGCUAUGAGUGCCUGGCUAUCAGACUGAUAAACUUGGUGUAGGUAUGACAGUAAAAUGUUUAAAUUUGUAUAAAACAUGCAAUGUCAAUGUUAGAGGACGAAGGACUAAUAAAGUAACAAAAUAAAAAAUAUCUAGCCCUAUGAUUAAAGAAACUAAUUAACCAUCAUCACUAACAGGCCCAUUUUAUACUGGGUGUGAAUGGGAACAAGUGCUUUUGGGUCAUUUAUAUAUAUAUAAAAAAACACAAAAUCCUUGAUUCUCAAAAUUUACAAUUGGGUAUUUAUAUUGUGCUUUUGGCUAUACAAAACAGACUUCCUUUAUUAAUAUUGAGAGUAUAUAAAUCUGUAAAAAGAUGGGACAUUUUUUAGAUUUUGAGAGGACAUACAAUUUGCCAUUGACGUGAAGGGACACAAGCCUUGGCAGAGUGAUGGUCACCACACAUUAAUUGCAAACAACAGAUACUUCAAUGACCUUUAUUUAAAGAAGAACAGAUUUUCCUUAUUUCUGAUGAACUAACUUGCGUAACGUCAGACCACACCAACAACUCCAGCAAGAACUGAGCAAAAGCUUGCGAACUUACACCACCCAAAAACCCGCACCAUAUGAGUUCGCUUCGCCUCUGUCACAUCCAAUGUUGUUUUUAGUAUAGUAAAGUUCAAAAACAGCUUGUUAUCACAGUUAUGGUCAGAACUAUUCUACAAAUUACCUUCGGGUAUUUCCAGGAGUUUUGCACGAACGUUUCUGAAGUGCUGGAAUUCUCCAUCUCGAACUCGAAAAGGAGGUGAUGCAGCCUAUACAGAUAAGUCCAAGACCUAGCAUACAACUACCAAUACAGUCCAAAACAUUCACGAUAGCUCCACAAUAAAAGCGUGCAGUGGGAAGAAUAUACUAUUAUACUAAACUAUUACCGCAACACAUACUGGCCACUGUUUUUCUAAAGGUCGCAAUUCAAAUCCAUUCAAUAUGGCCACGGCGAAGCGCUUUCACUGUUAUCAGGCUACUUGUUGUCUGGAAAAGUAAAUACCCUACCAUGAUACAAGUAUUAUAACAUCUGAAUACUGCGAUGUCAGAUAGCAACUGAACUGCAUGUCAGAAUAGAGAAUUAUCUAGGACUAUAAUCAACUAGCUGAAUAAUCUGCGUGCCCACCAAAUGUUCGAGUAUCCAACGUGUUCAAAACAACUGUCAAAAUAUUAUCGGUGAAGCCUUCCGUCAAUCCGGAAGGACAUAAAUGCUUGACAAGUGCUGUCACUCUACUAGUUGGCUGUUUCGUUAUUAACACACGAAAUCGUGUUGGUAGACAGAAAUCUGCUGUGCGGGUUUAUUUAGAGGAGGCACAAAGUUAGGCAAUUUUAACCUGUAGCUUAAACGCCUUCAAGGCUCCAUCAUUACAAGUAUGCGGACUUUACGAAAGCUACUGGCAGCGAUGCGCAUUAAUCGACCUUGCAAGUAACACCGGAGAGAAAAGAGAUGAUGCCUAACGACAACACUGAAGAUCACCGAAGCUCUGCCUAAGGUUGACCUGUCCGUCUCCUGGGUCGUACACAUGCCCGAUGGCCCAGUUUACGCAACAGCCGGCUCCUCCAUAGUUCUCCCAUGUUCCUACGACUUUCCGGAAGAGUCUCCCGCAGGACACCAUUACAAGGUGCUCUCUGAGAUGUGGUGCUUGGACCAGAGUCAUUGCAUCACACCGAGGUACGUGUACCACAGUGCUGGGAUCUUUCCGGAGCCGACGUACCAGGGUCGAGUGGAGUACCUGGGCAGGUUGGGAAGCAGGAACUGUUCCCUGAGGAUCUCUGAGCUCAGGGUGUCUGACAGUGGUGUCUAUGUGUUUUGCUUCAUCACGGACCACCCAGUGGCCAAGCUGCCAGGACAGAGGGGGCUUACACUCCUAGUAACUGUUGAAACAGCCGAGUCAUCAAAGGGGAGCGCUGUGGUAUGGAUACUUGGCUGUCUGUUGGCAGCCAUGGUGGUUGCAGGGGCAGCGUUAUACUGCAGGAGGAGGUCCCUUCAAAGAUCAUAACAGAUAAUGACUAUGACAUAAAAACCCAGAGUAAGAAGAAAUAACAGUGAAGCCUGGUAGAGGUGUUACAUUAAGAUUGGGCAUUUAUCUAAAAGACUAACCAAAAAUGACAAGAUGAGGCGAAUUUGACCCCUAUAAGAUGGAAUCAUUGAAAAUCAGCUCAAUACUUCAAAGAUAUUAAACAUUGUAAAGUGAUAUAAAUGAAGAAUGUAUCAAGAAGGAUUUUUUUGUAUUUCUCUGUUGUCUCACACCUUAUGUUCAACUGUAUUGUAGACAUAUGACUUUGAUAUGUGCACAAAGUACAGUUUUUUAGUUUGAGUUUAUUUUAAUUGUGACCAACAUUAACUUAACAACAUUAACAUCUCAGUACUGAAUAAUGUGUUUGCAUGGUGUAUUUGAUCACUUUUUCACUUCACUAGGGUAGAGUUUUUCAGAGGUCUAGUGUGGUGGAAAAUAUGUGAAUGAAAACUCAACAACCUGUGUGUGUAGACUAUUAACAAUCAGUAUAAUAACCAGUGUGUGUAGAAUGUUAACAAUCAGUAUGGCCUCUGGGAUAUUCAUGAUAGCAAGCUGUUAGAACUGCUAUGCCACUACAUAAUGAUUUAUACCGUUGAUGUGAAUUGCAUUAUGGGUACUCUUUGUUUAAAUAUGUAUCAAGUCUGGACAUACUGAUGUAUGGAGAGUCUUACUGAACUCUCCGCAUGCCAGCUGAGGGCCUUGAGAGCCUUCCCUGUCCUACUGCACACUCAUCUUUAUCUUAAACUUGGCACAUUUUAGGCUCCCCUGUCCCGCUGCACCCGCAUUCUUCUCCUGAAUUGGGCCGUUUCCAACCAUGGGUUGCUUUAGAAUAUGCCGGGUGCGAUUGUUGGGCCUCGGCCAUAAGGGGGAGGCACUGAUGGCUGACCAAAUAUGACAUGAAAACAUUUCCGGGCCCCCAAUACUCCAAUUAAAAAGCAAUAUACGUACUGUAUAUCCUAUGGGGAGGGUCAUAGGUGGUUUAGGGUGACAAAAGGUUCUCUUCAGAUGUAUAAAACAGAAUGCAAAACUCUGUAAACUCAGUAUUGUCUUGCUGACUUGCUCAGGUUUACGCUGUUGGUAUUGCACUGGCAAAAUAAACCUUUUUUGAUCCACACUCUGCCAGACUGCCAAAGAGUUUUAUUCGGAUCAGAAAAGAUGAAUGUUUUUUCCAUCACAAACCUACAGAUCAGACACGACACUAGUGCUUUGACCUAGUGAAUGAUUUAUAGGACAACAGAAGCCAUCGGAAGAAGAUAUGUAGUUCAAGUCCAUUUUGAACUUAUGGUUUAACUCAAGGGCGUAGGUUUGGUCUCAGCAGCUUUUCUGAUAAACCACAUGGCAGAGAUACCUUUUCUGAUAAAUCACGUGGUAGAGAUGUCUUUUCUGAUAAACUACAUGGCAGACAGGCCAUCACCAGGGAUGGAUUACCAAAAGGGCCAACCGGGCCCAGGCCCAGGGGCCCAUGAGCUCAGGGAGCCCCUAAGCCAGAGCGUCUGCGUGAAGUAGUUGUUAUUAACUUUGCAUUUCUUGUUGCAUAAAAAAAUUAAGGUUAGAGCGCACAAGAAUUGUUUGGCGCGCGAAGGGGGGAGGGGGGCCUUUUACACGUCCAGGCCCAGGACAGGGUCACAGGCCAUUAGAUAGGCGCUUCUGAGAGGCCAUGACGAGACCAC
ensembl:lncRNA